rnacentral:tRNA from 1 species
CGGCCGCGAGGCGCUCGGGCGCGAACGCGCCGGCGCCGAGGCUGCCGAGCGCGCCGGCGUUCGAUGCGGCGGCGACCAUC